GUGGGGAAUAUUGGACAAUGGGCGAAAGCCUGAUCCAGCCAUGCCGCGUGUGUGAAGAAGGUCUUCGGAUUGUAAAGCACUUUAAGUUGGGAGGAAGGGCAGUAAGUUAAUACCUUGCUGUUUUGACGUUACCGACAGAAUAAGCACCGGCUAACUUCGUGCCAGCAGCCGCGGUAAUACGAAGGGUGCAAGCGUUAAUCGGAAUUACUGGGCGUAAAGCGCGCGUAGGUGGUUUUGUAAGUUGGAGGUGAAAUCCCCGGGCUCAACCUGGGAACUGCCUCCAAAACUGCAUGACUAGAGUACGGUAGAGGGUAGUGGAAGUUCCUGUGUAGCGGUGAAAUGCGUAGAUAAAGGAAGGAACACCAGUGGCGAAGGCGACUACCUGGACUGAUACUGACACUGAGGUGCGAAAGCGUGGGGAGCAAACAGGAUUAGAAACCCGGGUAGUCC
rnacentral:rRNA from 1 species